GACGAACGCUGGCGGCGUGCUUAACACAUGCAAGUCGAACGGUGAAGCGCCUUCCUUUUUGGUGGGUGUGGAUGAGUGGCGAACGGGUGAGUAACACGUGAGUAACCUGCCCCCUUUUUCUGGAUAACCGCAUGAAAGUGUGGCUAAUACGGGAUAUUCUGGGUCUGUCGCAUGAUGGGUCUGGGAAAGUUAUUGUUUCGGUGGGGGAUGGGCUCGCGGCUUAUCAGCUUGUUGGUGGGGUGAUGGCCUACCAAGGCGGUGACGGGUAGCCGGCGUGAGGGGAUGGAGGGCCCCACAGGGGCUGGGAGGCGGCCCGGACACCUACGGGCGGCCGUAGUGGGUAAUGUAGGAAGCUGGGCGCAAGCCUGAUGCAUCGACGCCGCGUGGGGGAUGGAGGUCUUCGUGUAGUGAACCUCUUUCGCGAGUGAAGCGUGCCUGCCGCGUUUGUGGGUGGGUUGACGGUAGCUGGAGAAGAAGCGACGGCUAACUACGUG
rnacentral:rRNA from 1 species